rnacentral:rRNA from 1 species
GACGAACGCUGGCGGCGUGCUUAACACAUGCAAGUCGAACGGAAAGGCACCUUUGGGGGUACUCGAGUGGCGAACGGGUGAGUAACACGUGAGUAACCUGCCCUUGACUUCGGGAUAACUUCAGGAAACUGGGGCUAAUACCGGAUAGGAAUCCUUGCUGCAUGGUGGGGGUUGGAAAGCUUCGGCGGUUUUGGAUGGACUCGCGGCUUAUCAGCUUGUUGGUGGGGUAGUGGCUUACCAAGGCUUUGACGGGUAGCCGGCCUGAGAGGGCGACCGGCCACAUUGGGACUGAGAUACGGCCCAGACUCCUACGGGAGGCAGCAGUGGGGAAUAUUGCACAAUGGGCGGAAGCCUGAUGCAGCAACGCCGCGUGCGGGAUGACGGCCUUCGGGUUGUAAACCGCUUUCAGCAGGGGCGAAGCUUGUGGUGACGGUACCUGCAGAAGAAGCACCGGCUAACUACGUG